GUUGCUCUGGCCGUGUUAAAUGCAAAUGAGGUUGUAGUUAAGACCUUGGAGGCUUUGUGCACAAAACCUGCACAAGUGCAGGCAAUAAUAGGAGUGUCACAGUCUCUGGUCCUGCUCCUUGUUCUAUUUUGAGUUCUUUAUUUUCGGUAUUGUCUGGUUCUAUUCUAGGGUUUUAUUUUGAAGGACUUCCUGCGACUCACUCCACAGCUGUGUUUACUGUCACGUCUUGGUUUCACUUCCGCUAAUACUUUAAAAGGACUUCCUGUUUACCUCGUGUCUCAGCUGUUCCCUGUUUCUACCGGUCAUUAGCCACACCUGCACAUCAUCAGUAAUCAGGUCACUGUGUAUUUAAGCACCACCUCUCACCCUAGUACCUUGCCAGAUUGUUAGUUCGUGUUCGCGUGCAUUCACCAUCAUCCUGCGUUUUGGUUCUAGUCCCGACCCGUGUUUCCGAUCUUGUUUUGCCUACCGUUACCGAGCCUUGCCUGAUCCUGCCUGCAUCGCCUGCUGAACCUGUCUGUCUGUCUGUGCCGUGCAUGUGGGUCCGCCGCCUUUGACGUUCUGACAAGGAGAAACACCCUUUUACAUACCACAGAUCAGCCCAUUUUCCACCUGUGCUUGUCUUACUGAGAUUAUGAAGCGUUCAACCUCCUAAGUGAUGUUGCUUUCCUCUCCUACUUGGACAUGGAUGUGUUAAUAAUUAGCGUAUUUUCCGCCAUAUAAGACGGGAAAAUCUAGAAAAAAAAGAUUCUGAACCAAAUACUGUAAUAAAAUAUUUUAUAUCAACUGUAAAAAAGUUAAAAGCAGUUUAAGAACAAUUGUAUGCCAAACAUGUAACAUGAACAUUAGUAAUACCGUAAUAGCCAGUAACAUUGCCCCCACAUUAACAAGAAUAGCCAGUAACACUGCCCCCACAUAAGCAAGAAUAGCGAGUAACAUAGCAUCGCCACUCCUCACCUCAUGGUAAAACAGAAACCGGAAAUCAUUACAAAAUAAAACAGGAAAUUACAUGCAGAACCAAAACCCCGGAUUGUGAUAAUAAGAUGGCAGCCAACAGAAAAUGUUGUGGACUUUGUCAUAGUUGAUGCAUCUUUACUUGAGUCUGAAAACUAUGACUUUAAUCUGGGCACAAAACUCAACACAAAUAAACAUGAUCAUUUAACGCAGUGAUCCCCAACCCCCGGGCCGUGGACCAGUACCGGUCCGUGGGUCAACUGGUACCAGGCCGCGAAAGAAAUCUCACAUUAUUCCCGUUUUAUUUAUUGUGUGAUUCUGAACAAUGUUAUUUUGGAAAAUUACCGGAAUCAUUUGGCUAAAUCCGCCUAGGACUUGUCUCGGUCACGUGUCUUACGGGCUGCUCCAGUCGGUAACCGGUAACACCAAACCGCUAAAUUAAAACCCCCAAGCUAGCGAACACGUUUCUUUGCGCAGCGUAAAAGAGCCAGUGAGGCAGAAGAAGAGCCAACGACUACAAAUAAAAAGAAAGCUUUGGUUUCUGUGUUACUGUAGUAAAAACUGUUGACUGUUUGUCCUCAUUAACUUGUGUACUGUAUGAAAAUAAAUUAUAUCAAGCAUAACAGUGUAUAGAAACAUUCUUUAAAUGCUGCUGACUUGCCUGUCACAGA